rnacentral:rRNA from 1 species
AGAGACACAGGGAUGCCUUAGUAGCGGCGAGUGAAGCGGCAAAAGCUCAAAUUUGAAAUCUGGCACCUUCGGUGUCCGAGUUGUAAUUUGAAGAUUGUAACCUUGGGGUUGGCUCUUGUCUAUGUUUCUUGGAACAGGACGUCACAGAGGGUGAGAAUCCCGUGCGAUGAGAUGCCCAAUCCUAUGUAAGGUGCUUUCGAAGAGUCGAGUUGUUUGGGAAUGCAGCUCUAAGUGGGUGGUAAAUUCCAUCUAAAGCUAAAUAUUGGCGAGAGACCGAUAGCGAACAAGUACAGUGAUGGAAAGAUGAAAAGAACUUUGAAAAGAGAGUGAAAAAGUACGUGAAAUUGUUGAAAGGGAAGGGUUUGAGAUCAGACUCGAUAUUUUGUGAGCCUUGCCUUCGUGGCGGGGUGACCCGCAGCUUAUCGGGCCAGCAUCGGUUUGGGCGGUAGGAUAAUGGCGUAGGAAUGUGACUUUGCUUCGGUGAAGUGUUAUAGCCUGCGUUGAUGCUGCCUGCCUAGACCGAGGACUGCGAUUAUCAAGAUGCUGCA